GAAGGAAAAGAGGUUGACUUGCUUCUGGGUUCCAGGGUGCUCACUGGGUGGUUCCCCCAGUGCCCCACUCCUACAGGAACUGCAGCCAGCAGCACCCAGGAGACGGAACCUCCCUGCCCAGCCCGGCGCCCGCCAGCCCUGGUGCCGUUUCCCAGGAGACGGAACCUCCCUGCUCAGCCCGGCGCCCGCCAGCCCCGGUGCCGUUUUAUAGCAGCAUGCCUCUAGCAAUCAAGACACCUGGCACCUCGGAGGGCCGACUUCCAGAAGGAUUUGCCACAGGGCACCACAACAACUUCUCUGCCAUUCAGAGUCACAGCUGCACAGACUGAUACAAGUAUGGACCCCCUAGAAGGAACAACAAAUGGAGCUGCCGUCUAUAUACACACGUCGAUUUAGGUCUCUGUCUCUGGCAACUGAAAAGAGACCCAACAAAACAUCUUACAGAGCACCAGGGCCGAUUCUUGAUGCGUCGUUAGAUUCUGUGUAGCCAGAAAGCAGAAACAGAAACAUAUCCAAGCCAGGCGGAGGAAAAACUUUGAGGCCUGUUU
rnacentral:lncRNA from 1 species